rnacentral:tRNA from 1 species
ACUUAUAUAAUAUAAAAAUUAUAUUUGACUUCCAAUCAAAAAAUCUAUACCAUAGUGUAAGUA